rnacentral:rRNA from 1 species
UAACUCUAGGUCAGGCAGGAUUACCUACUGAGUUUAGGCAUAUCAAUAAGUAGAGAAAAAGAACUUACUAGGAUUCCUCUAGUAAUGGCAAGCAAACUAAAAAGAGCUUAGCUAAAGAAUCAGGUGCCCAUAGCAUCUAAAUUGUAGUUUGGAAAAGCAUCCUCAGUGAUAAACCAAGCCCAAGUCCCCAAAAAAGUAUUGUCGAAGAGGGUGAGAGACCCAUUAUGCCUAGAGCUUAUCAUACCAUGAGGCACUAUUUGCAAGUUGGGUUGUUUGGGAAUACAACACCAAUAAGAUGAUAUAUUUCAUCGAAGGCUGAAAACAGGUGAAAGACCAAUAGUGAACAAGUACCACAAGGGAAAGAUGGAAAGUACUUUGAAAAAAGAGUCAAAGAGUGCUUGAAAUUAUCAAAAAUGAAGUGGAUGGGAGCUAACGAUAUGCCCCGAUAAGAUGUGGAAUGUUGAAAGUCAGUUUACCAAUUGGCUCAGGGCAUGGGUCGUAGUGGGUCAUUGCAGUGACCCAGCCCCAGGCUUUCUAUAUGCCUACUGAGAUGUCAUCUUCACGAUCAAGGAAUGUAGCACAUGCCAUCUCAGCAUGCCUUGACUCCCGUGUGCUCUUGGCAUCAACCUACGGGCUCCCCAUUGGCCUAUCUUGAAACACAAACCAAAGAGUCUGACAUGUGUGCAAGUCAACAGGCAAGGAAACUAAUAAGGCACAAGGAAGUUGAUCGGUAGGAUCCCUUAUAGGUGCACCAUGAACUAACCUUGAUCUUUUAAGAAUGGUUCGAGUGCGAGCAUGCCUAUUAGAACCUAAAAGAUGGUGAACUAUGCCUAACUAGGGUGAAGCUAGAGAAAACUCUGAUGAAGGCCCACAGUGAUACUAAUAUGCAAAUCAUUCAUCUAACUUUAGUAUAAAGGUGAAAGACUAGUCAAACUAUCUUGUAGCUAGUUCUCUUUGUAGUUUCCCUCAGGAUAGCUAGAGCCCUUAGCGAGUUCUAUCAAGUAAAGCCAAUGAUUAAAAGCAUCGGGGGCACAAUGCUCCUGACCUAUUCUCAAACUUUAAAUAGGUAAGAUGGCAUGGCUACUUCAUUGAGCCAUGCCAUGGAAUUGAGAGCUUCAAAUGGGCCAUUUUUGGUAAAUAGAGCUAGCAAUGUGGGAUGAACCGAAAGCUAAGUUAUGGUGCCUAACUAUGCAUUAACCUAGAACCCAUAAGGGUAUUAGCCGAUUAGGGCAGUAAGAUAAUGGCCAUAGAAGUUGAAAUCUACUAAAGAGUGUGUAACAACUCACCUAUUGAAUCAAUUAGCCCUAAAAAUGGAUGGCACUUAAAUGUGGGACCCAUACGCAACCCUUAAGGCAAGGGCCAAGCCUCGAUGAGUACAAGGGCAUGAUGGUUGUCACAAAACCCAAGGCUUUAGCUCAAACAGAGUGGCUAUCUAUGUAGAUCUUGAUGGUAGUAGCAAAUAGUCAAAUGAGAACUUUGAAGGCCAAAGAGGGGAAAGGUCCAUUGAAUGACAUUUGCACAUGGGUUAGUUGAUCCUAAAAGGUGGGGAAAGCCCUUUCUAUAAUGCAUCCAGUGCGAGCUUUGAAAAGGAAAUUAAGUUAAAAUUCCUAAACCAUGAUGCAAUGAUAGACGUAAUGUUAGGAAGUCUGGAGACGUUAGUAGAGCCCUUGGGAAGAGUUAUCUUUUCUAUUUAAUAGCCUACCUAUGUAGGAAAUGACUCAGUUGGAGGUAAGGCCUAGCAAUAGGAAGAGCAUCGCACAACACGUGGUGUCUAGUACACCCCUGGUAGCCCUUGAAAAUCUAAAAGACUAUUACCAUCCAUGCCUGGUCAUACUCAUAUUUGUAUCAGGUCUCCAAGGUGAACAACCUCUGGUCGAUGGAACAAUGUAGGCAAGGGAAGUCGACAAAAUGGAUCUGUAACCUUGGGAAAAGGAUUGGCUCUAAGGGUUAGGCAUAGGAGUCCCAAUCUCAAACCUAUCAACCAUCGGUGCACUACUCGUGCUAGUCUUACAACCAGAGUGAGUCAUCGCAUGUAGGCCAAGGGAUGAACUAGGAAUAGCUCCCUCAAGGGCUUUCCCAAAGUGACGAACAAUCGACUUAAAAUUAGUACAAACAAGGGAAUCUAACUGUUUAAUUAAAACAAAGCAUUGUGAUGGUCCUUACAGAUGCUCACACAAUGUGAUUUUUGCCCAGUGUUUUGAAUGUCAACAUGAAGAAAUUCAACCAAGCAUAGAUAAACAGUGGGAGUAACUAUGACUUUCUUACGGUAGCUAAAUGCUUCAUCAUCUAAUUAGGGAUUCGUAUGAAUGUAUCAACGAGAUUGCCACUGUCCUUGUCUACUAUCUAGUGAAACUACAACCAAGGGAAUAGGCUUAGCAAAAUUAGCAGGGAAAAAAGACCUUAUUGAGCAUGACUCUAGUCUGACUUUGUGAAAUGACUCGAAAGGUGUAAGAUAAAUUAGAGCCCUCAAGCCAAAUUGAAAUACCACUAAUUUGAAUAUUAUUUUACUUAUUUUGUAAACCAGAGGUGGGGUACGACCCCUUCUUUUAGACCCAAUGCUAGCCUCAGUAGGUCUAUUUAGGCAGAAGACAUUGUCAAGUAGGGAGUUUGGCUAUGGCGGCACAUCUAUUAAAAGAUAAUGCAUGUGUCCUAAUAGAAGCUCAACAAGAAUAAAAAUCUCAUAUGGAAUAAAAGGGUAAAAGCUCAUUUGAUUUAAUUUCUAGUACAAAUAUGAACCAUGAAAGCAUGGCCUAUUGAUCCUUUAGAGCUUCAAAAUUUGAAGCUAGAGGUGUCAGAAAAGUUACAAUAAGGAUAACUAGCUUGUUGCAACCAAGCAUUCAUAGUGACAUUGCUUUUCGAUCCUUCGAUGUCGACAUUUCAUAUCAUUGUGAAGCAAAAUUCACCAAGUGUUGGAUUGUUCACCUACUAAUAAGGAAUGUAAGUUAGGUUUAGACUAUCAUGAGACAAUUAGUUUUACCUUAUUGAUGGUAGCGUUGCAAUAGUAAUUCAACCUAAUAAAAAAAACCAUUAAUUCGUAUAAUUGGUCAUCGCACUUAGUUGAAAAGCCAAUGGCACAAAGCUAUCGUAUGCUAGAUUAUGACUAAAUGCCACUAAGUUAAAAUUUGGGCUAGAAAUGAUGUGGCACCUACCGCUUAAUUGUCACCCCAUAAUAGGGGCCUAUAGCCCCUAAGGGCACGUGUCAUAGGUGUAGCACCUGUAACGGGCCUCCUUGGAGUCUAAUUCCCACUAAGCAAUUGAGAGAAUCCUAGAUGA